rnacentral:rRNA from 1 species
CCUACGGGUGACAGCAGUAGGGAAUCUUUCACAAUGGGCGAAAGCCUGAUGGAGCAACGCCGCGUGCAGGAUGAAGGCCUUCGGGUUGUAAACUGCUUUUAUAAGCGAGAAAUAUGAUGGUAACUUAUGAAUAAGGAUCGGCUAACUACGUGCCAGCAGCCGCGGUCAUACGUAGGAUCCGAGCAUUAUCCGGAGUGACUGGGUGUAAAGAGUUGCGUAGGUGGCAUAAUAAGUAGCUAGUGAAAUCUGGUGGCUCAACCAUUCAGACUAUUAGCUAAACUGUUAAGCUCGAGACCGUUAGGGGUAACUGGAAUUUCUAGUGUAGGAGUGAAAUCCGUAGAUAUUAGAAGGAACACCAAUAGCGUAGGCAGGUUGCUGGGACGGUUCUGACACUAAGGCACGAAAGCGUAGGGAGCAAACAGGAUUAGAUACCCGAGUAGUC